rnacentral:lncRNA from 13 species
UAAUAGAGUGAGCAGCUCUAGGAUGGACACAUGUGUCUGGCUUACCAUUAGCCCCCACCCUCUGUUACAGAGAUAGAAAGGCCAUGGGGGAUAGGCUCUUGGCUGGUAUGCUCUGAUACAAGGAGUCUCUUAGACAUUGACAUCUCAAAACUGGGUGCCUGCGGUGUAGGAAUCAAAGCAACCUGCCUACAGACUCCACCUUCUGUUCAAUUUGACUUUGGCCUGGCCUGACUGACUCUCACCCUUGGAAGGUGGCCUAGCUCUUGACCAAAGGAGGCAUAGCCUCAAUGCCAGGAGGAUGAUGAAGGUUCAAAACUGGAGUUUGCUUUGUGAGCCAAUUGGCUCUGGGUUGGGAUGAAAGAUCCAGCUUCCAAACCUGGGAGGGAGCCUAGGGCAUCAGGCUUACCAGCAUCUAAAGGCCAUGGAAAUAGAUGGUGGGUUCAGGUCUCACAGGGCACACCAGGGCCUGAGGAAGGCAGGGCAGGGAGCUGAUGUGAACAGCAUGCUUAUUACCCUGUUGCUUGCAUAUCAUCCCUUUUGGCUUUGAAGUUUCACCAGUUACUGGCUGUGUGACUUUGUGCAGUGAUUUCCCUUUCUGAGCUGCUUCUGUUAUUUCAUUAGUAAACUGGAAGUGGUAAUGACAUCAUCUCACAGAGGCCAUCCUAAGGAUUUUGUGGAGAUCAGAGCACUCCAUCUGGCAUAUAAUGCAAGGAUUCCAGUGGUAACUUACUCAAAUCCAGAUGGGGUCAUGGAGGAGUUCCUUCUGCCCUUUUCCUCCCCACGACUGGCUCUGGUGGCUUCCCCAAGAAUAGAGCAGCAGGUGAGCAGGUGGAGCCCUGAUUGCAGGGCUGUGAUGUGCUGAGAGGGAUUGAUCAGUCCUGGAUUCUCAAGCCCUAGAAAUUGCUUCAGACACCAGGAAAACAGGGAUCUGAUUGGAGUCAGUGGAAUUUAGUUUAUUUGAAUUGACUUCAACUGAAUGAAAUGGAAUUACUAAACUAAAUGAAAAUAAUUGAAUUGAAAUAUAGCAAAUUGGAUUGAAUCGAGAUUAAUUGAAAUGAAAUCAAUUGAAAAUGUAUUGAAUCAUGGUACUGGAAAAGGUUUAGAUGUUGCCUCCUCAACCCUAAUCAUUGCACAGUGAGGCAACUAAAGCUCAGGAAGGGUGGGGAAGGGUAUAAUGGAGGGUCAAUGACUUUGACAAGGUCAAGAUAGUGACAGAGCCAGGCCUCAAAGCCAGGCUAUCUGCCUCCCAGGCUAGCACCUAGCCCACCAUGUAUACUUCCAGAAUUGGCGGGGUCUAAGAUUACAUUUCCAAACAAAAGGCCAGGAGAUGAUUGAUAGAAAUCAGCAGGUGAAGAAGACUUGAGGAAAUAAUUAACAUCCAACUUUAAUAAUAUUCUUGACCUGCUAAUAAGCAACCCAGCCUGUCUUCUGUCCUCUGAGUUUGCCUUUCCAUUGCAUUCUUUCUGCCCACUCCAGGCUUGAGCCUACCCUGAUGUCCUGGUGAAAUCCAUGGAUCCAUGGAAGCAGCUUCAGGCCAGCCACUAAGUGACUUUCCAUUACUUUGGCUUAAUCUCAGUUUCCAUUUUUAGCCUUGUUCCAGUAACUGUUUUUUUUUUUUUUUUAAAUAUCCUUUGCCAUCAGGCCCUGGGCUGUGGUGGGUACAUGAAGAAUAAGAUACCUGAAGACUCUGAGCCUAGUGGUGGCAGAAGGAUAAAAGAAAAGUCUGUGAGCUGAUCCUCUGUGCAUUUACUUCAAGGAACAAGGAUAUAAUGUAGCUGAUGACACUUCUUGAAUUCUCAAUUAUAAGAUCAUUGUGCCUGAAAGUCUAUGUUAAUGCCAUUCCUUGGGUAAUGUUUAAAAAA